rnacentral:rRNA from 1 species
GUCUCAGUCAGAUUGCAGGCUGCAACCCGCCUGCAUGAAGUCGGAAUUGCUAGUAAUCGCGGAUCAGCAUGCCGCGGUGAAUACGUUCCCGGGCCUUGUACACACCGCCCGUCACACCAUGGGAGCCGGUAAUACCCGAAGUCAGUAGUCCAACCUCGUGAGGACGCUGUCGAAGGUAGGAUUGGCGACUGGGGUGAAGUCGUAACAAGGUAAC